rnacentral:rRNA from 1 species
CCUACGGGUGGCAGCAGUGAGGAAUAUUGGUCAAUGGCCGCAGGGCUGAACCAGCCAAGUCGCGUGAGGGAUGACGGUCCUAUGGAUUGUAAACCUCUUUUGUCAGGGAGCAAAGGGCGCCACGUGUGGCGCUUUGCGAGUACCUGAAGAAAAAGCAUCGGCUAACUCCGUGCCAGCAGCCGCGGUAAUACGGGGGAUGCGAUCGUGAGCCGGAUUUAUUGGGUUGAGAGGGUGCGCAGGCGGAAUGUCAAGUCAGCGGUAAAAUUUCGGGGCUCAACCCCGUCGUGCCGUUGAAACUGGCGUUCUUGAGUGAGCGAGAAGUAUGCGGAAUGCGUGGUGUAGCAGUGAAAUGCGUAGAUAUCACGCAGAACACCGAUUGCGAAGGCAGCAUACCGGCGCUCAACUGACGCUCAUGCGCGAAAGCGUGGGUAUCGAACAGGAUUAGAUACCCUUGUAGUC